ACACACAGUCACACAGCGUACCCUAGGGCAAAACCCUAAACCAAAGCAGUCGACGCAGAAAAUAAAGUCACAUGGGACACCUCAACGCAGACAAUGCAGUUUUGCUGUGAACCACCACCCUCCUGGGCCAUCAAGUCCACCUCGAUACACUGCCCUGCACAACUCCCAUGCCCUCGAAGGCUCCUUACUCACUUUGAGCGGAAAAAGCAAGUCGGAAGAUUCCCAGACCAAAUCCUGGAGAUAGCUCAGAGGGGAACCUGUGGGUCAGGCGACUCAGACUGUAUAGCAGCCUGGGGCUGGUGAGGUAUGAACAUGCAGGACUUGUGUUUGCAAUCAGGCCAGCACACACGAAAUGUUAGGCAUUGGCUAAUUAACCUGUCUACCCCCUAAUGCUUUUCAUGCCUCAGUUUACCUGGCUCUUUAUAUUAUACUGCUCUUAAUGCAAUACUGUCUAUAAAUUAGUUUCAUAUGACACAUAAUACCCGGUGGUACUACUCAUAGUUCUCACUCAUUGGUG